UACAGAGGGGGCAAGCGUUAUUCGGAAUUAUUGGGCGUAAAGGGCGCGUAGGCGGCUAUUCAAGUGGCGGGUGAAAUCCCUCGGCUUAACCGAGGAACUGCCUGCCAGACUGGAUGGCUUGAGACCGGGAGAGGUGAGUGGAACUCCCAGUGUAGCGGUGAAAUGCGUAGAUAUUGGGAGGAACACCAGUGGCGAAGGCGGCUCACUGGACCGGUACUGACGCUGAGGCGCGAAAGCGUGGGGAGCAAACAGG
rnacentral:rRNA from 1 species